AACGAACGCUGGCUGCAUGCCUAACACAUGCAAGUCGAACGAGAUCUUCGGGUCUAGUGGCGCACGGGUGCGUAACGCGUGGGAAUCUGCCCUUUGGUUCGGAAUAACAGUUGGAAACGACUGCUAAUACCGGAUGAUGACGAAAGUCCAAAGAUUUAUCGCCAGAGGAUGAGCCCGCGUAGGAUUAGCUAGUUGGUGUGGUAAAGGCGCACCAAGGCGACGAUCCUUAGCUGGUCUGAGAGGAUGAUCAGCCACACUGGGACUGAGACACGGCCCAGACUCCUACGGGAGGCAGCAGUGGGGAAUAUUGGACAAUGGGCGAAAGCCUGAUCCAGCAAUGCCGCGUGAGUGAUGAAGGCCUUAGGGUUGUAAAGCUCUUUUACCCGGGACGAUAAUGACAGUACCGGGAGAAUAAGCUCCGGCUAACUCCGUGCCAGCAGCCGCCGUAA
rnacentral:rRNA from 1 species